rnacentral:rRNA from 1 species
GACGAACGCUGGCGGCGUGCCUAAUACAUGCAAGUCGAGCGGAUUGAGCCUUCGGGCUUGGUUAGCGGCGGACGGGUGAGUAACACGUAGGCAACCUGCCUGUAAGCCCGGGAUAACCCACGGAAACGUGAGCUAAGACCGGAUAGGUGAGGAGAAGGCAUCUUUUCCUCUGGAAAUGCGGGGUAACCUGCAACUUACGGAUGGGCCUGCGGCGCAUUAGCUGGUUGGUGGGGUAACGGCUCACCAAGGCGACGAUGCGUAGCCGACCUGAGAGGGUGACCGGCCACACUGGGACUGAGACACGGCCCAGACUCCUACGGGAGGCAGCAGUAGGGAAUCUUCGGCAAUGGACGGAAGUCUGACCGAGCAACGCCGCGUGAGUGACGAAGGGUUUCGGCUCGUAAAACUCUGUUGCCAAGGAAGAAGGAUGGGAAGAGUCACUGCUUUCCAUUUGACGGUACUUGAGAAGAAAGCCCCGGCUAACUACGUGCCAGCAGCC